GACGAACGCUGGCGGCGUGCUUAACACAUGCAAGUCGAACGGUGAAGGGAUCAGCUUGCUGGUUCUGGAUGAGUGGCGAACGGGUGAGUAACACGUGAGUAACCUGCCCCCUUCUUCUGGAUAACCGCAUGAAAGUGUGGCUAAUACGGGAUAUUCUGCGCCUGCUGCAUGGUGGGUGUGGGAAAGAUAUUGUUUCGGUGGGGGAUGGGCUCGCGGCCUAUCAGCUUGUUGGUGGGGUGAUGGCCUACCAAGGCGGUGACGGGUAGCCGGCCUGAGAGGGUGGACGGUCACACUGGGACUGGGACACGGCCCAGACUCCUACGGGAGGCAGCAGUGGGGAAUAUUGCACAAUGGGCGCAAGCCUGAUGCAGCGACGCCGCGUGAGGGAGGGAGGCCUUCGGGUUGUGAACCUCUUUCGACAGUGAAGCAGGCCUGUCCCUUGUGGGUGGGUUGACGGUAGCUGGAUAAGAAGCGCCGGCUAACUACGUG
rnacentral:rRNA from 1 species